GCAAGAUUAAAACUCAAAUGAAUUGACGGGGGCCCGCACAAGCGGUGGAGCAUGUGGUUUAAUUCGAUGCAACGCGAAGAACCUUACCUACUCUUGACAUCCAGAGAACUUUCCAGAGAUGGAUUGGUGCCUUCGGGAACUCUGAGACAGGUGCUGCAUGGCUGUCGUCAGCUCGUGUUGUGAAAUGUUGGGUUAAGUCCCGCAACGAGCGCAACCCUUAUCCUUGUUUGCCAGCGAGUAAUGUCGGGAAC
rnacentral:rRNA from 1 species